GAUGAACGCUGGCGGCGUGCCUAAUACAUGCAAGUCGAGCGAACAGAUAAGGAGCUUGCUCCUUUGACGUUAGCGGCGGACGGGUGAGUAACACGUGGGUAACCUACCUAUAAGACUGGGAUAACUUCGGGAAACCGGAGCUAAUACCGGAUAACAUUUGGAACCGCAUGGUUCUAAAGUGAAAGAUGGUUUUGCUAUCACUUAUAGAUGGACCCGCGCCGUAUUAGCUAGUUGGUAAGGUAACGGCUUACCAAGGCAACGAUACGUAGCCGACGUGAGAGAGUGAUCGGCCACACGGGAACUGAGCCACGGUCCAGACUCCUAAGGGAGGCAGCAGUAGGGAAUCUUCCGCAAUAGGCGAAAGCCUGGCGGAGCGACGCCGCGUGAGUGAUGAAGGGUUUCGGCUCGUAAAACUCUGUUAUUAGGGAAGAACAAAUGUGUAAGUAACUGUGCACGUCUUGACGGUACCUAAUCAGAAAGCCACGGCUAACUACGUG
rnacentral:rRNA from 1 species